rnacentral:rRNA from 1 species
GACAGAGGAUGCAAGCGUUAUCCGGAAUGAUUGGGCGUAAAGCGUCUGUAGGUGGCUUUUCAAGUCCGCUGUCAAAUCCCAGGGCUCAACCCUGGACAGGCGGUGGAAACUACCAAGCUGGAGUACGGUAGGGGCAGAGGGAAUUUCUGGUGGAGCGGUGAAAUGCAUUGAGAUCGGAAAGAACACCAACGGCGAAAGCACUCUACUGGGCCGACACUGACACUGAGAGACGAAAGCGAGGGGAGCAAAUGGG